CCCAAGUGGGCUUUGACCUUAAAUCAAGAGAUAUCAAAAGCUGCAGUAAAAAUAAUUGUGUGUUUUAAAACCAAUGGUAUCUUAGAAAUAGGAAAUAUGAAAUGAUGACAAGCCUAGCCAGAACACUAAUUUGUUUCUAUAUCCCCAAUAUAUAGCGGGCAGUAUGAUUUCAAUAUGUUUAUGAGAAGGACAAAUAUCUCAACAAAAUAGACACUGACUUUUUUUUUAAUUAGAAAAAGUUUCAAACGUAUACCUAAAGUAGAUAGUGUAUUGUGGUGAACUCCCAUCACCCAAUGUCAGGAUUUUCAACUCAGGAGAACAAUAAUGCUGUGCUGCAGCCAGGUCAUAUUGCCUUAUAUUUUUCACCUCUUUCCUUAUAAGAGCUCUCAGCUCUAGGGGCAAAAAAAAGAUAAGAGGAAAGAAAAACCUACACAAUAUCAAUAAGUUUACCCUUGAGAAUAAGUCACUUUCUCAGAUGGUGUUUUCACAACAUAAAUGUUUUAUGCAUUUGUGCUUAGAUUUUAAGAUAUUAGAUAAGAAAUCAAAUUUCCCUCCAGCUUUUAUUCAGCACCAUCCCCUCACAUACAAACUCACACAUACACACAUGGAAACUGAUUCCUAAUGUCAGAGUUAAUUUCUCAUUUACCAGGAGCAUGGAGCUUUUUCUACAGAGUAUGAUCAACCUAGAGGUAUUGUCGUGUGAGUUUAAUAAUAUUUUUGAUAACUAGAAAGGAGGAAAUUAACCCAUGAGUCAUGAAAAACCUGAAAAGAUUAUUCUGAUGUUUGUUUAUCUUGAACUAAAUUUGCAAGGAAAUAAAAUUACUCUGGUAGCU
rnacentral:lncRNA from 1 species